UGAAAGCGGCAUCUCCCAUCAGGGACAGGAAGUCUCCCCAAGGAGCUCAAGCCAAUGCAGAGGCCUAAGGUUGGGGUGCUUCUGUCCACAGAGGCUGCGUUAGGAGCGAGAGGGAACAGAUGACCUCAUCAGCCUGCAUUGAAGCUGUGACAAGUUGGAGCGUAGCUGCACUCCUGGAAUGCCAAGCUUGCACCCUGAAUCUGGGGCUUGUCUUUAGCACCCCGCAUGCCUCUCUCGGUCACUUCGUGACUCUUGUUUGGGUUUCCCAUACUCCAAGACCACCUCUUCUGGCAAGCCAGCACACUUCCAUGGCCUUCCAAGCCACAGCACCUCCUGGACCUGGCUGCAUCACCAUCUAGGGACAACCAGCUGCUCUCCCAAACCUCAGAGGAAAGCCAGACUGCCUGGCUGGCACUCAAGGUCAUAAUGUAGCCCCUGGUGAGUAGCCGUUCAACCAGGAUCUCAAAGCACUACACAGGAGUGGGAGGGAGGCCAGAGCUUAGGCCCUAGAGCCAGGCUGCCCCUAGAUCUGAUCCCAGCUUCAGCUUUUAAAAGUCACAUGACCAGAG